GGUUAAGUUAGAAAGGGCGCACGGUGGAUGCCUUGGCACUAGGAGCCGAUGAAGGACGGGACGAACACCGAUAUGCUUCGGGGAGCUGUAAGCAAGCUUUGAUCCGGAGAUUUCCGAAUGGGGAAACCCACCACUCGUAAUGGAGUGGUAUCCAUAUCUGAAUUCAUAGGAUAUGAGAAGGCAGACCCGGGGAACUGAAACAUCUAAGUACCCGGAGGAAGAGAAAGCAAAUGCGAUUCCCUGAGUAGCGGCGAGCGAAACGGGAUUAGCCCAAACCAAGAGGCUUGCCUCUUGGGGUUGUAGGACACUCUGUACGGAGUUACAAAAGAACGAGGUAGAUGAAGAGGUCUGGAAAGGCCCGCCAUAGGAGGUAACAGCCCUGUAGUCAAAACUUCGUUCUCUCCUGAGUGGAUCCUGAGUACGGCGGAACACGUGAAAUUCCGUCGGAAUCCGGGAGGACCAUCUCCCAAGGCUAAAUACUCCCUAGUGACCGAUAGUGAACCAGUACCGUGAGGGAAAGGUGAAAAGCACCCCGGAAGGGGAGUGAAAGAGAUCCUGAAACCGUGUGCCUACAAGUAGUCAGAGCCCGUUAACGGGUGAUGGCGUGCCUUUUGUAGAAUGAACCGGCGAGUUACGAUCCCGUGCAAGGUUAAGCAGAAGAUGCGGAGCCGCAGCGAAAGCGAGUCUGAAUAGGGCGCAUGAGUACGUGGUCGUAGACCCGAAACCAGGUGAUCUACCCAUGUCCAGGGUGAAGUUCAGGUAACACUGAAUGGAGGCCCGAACCCACGCACGUUGAAAAGUGCGGGGAUGAGGUGUGGGUAGGGGUGAAAUGCCAAUCGAACCUGGAGAUAGCUGGUUCUCUCCGAAAUAGCUUUAGGGCUAGCCUCAAGGUAAGAGUCUUGGAGGUAGAGCACUGAUUGGACUAGGGGCCCCUACCGGGUUACCGAAUUCAGUCAAACUCCGAAUGCCAAUGACUUAUCCUUGGGAGUCAGACUGCGAGUGAUAAGAUCCGUAGUCGAAAGGGAAACAGCCCAGACCGCCAGCUAAGGUCCCAAAGUAUACGUUAAGUGGAAAAGGAUGUGGAGUUGCUUAGACAACCAGGAUGUUGGCUUAGAAGCAGCCACCAUUUAAAGAGUGCGUAAUAGCUCACUGGUCGAGUGACUCUGCGCCGAAAAUGUACCGGGGCUAAACGUAUCACCGAAGCUGCGGACUGUUCUUCGAACAGUGGUAGGAGAGCGUUCUAAGGGCUGUGAAGCCAGACCGGAAGGACUGGUGGAGCGCUUAGAAGUGAGAAUGCCGGUAUGAGUAGCGAAAGAGGGGUGAGAAUCCCCUCCACCGAAUGCCUAAGGUUUCCUGAGGAAGGCUCGUCCGCUCAGGGUUAGUCGGGACCUAAGCCGAGGCCGAAAGGCGUAGGCGAUGGACAACAGGUUGAUAUUCCUGUACCACCUCCUCACCAUUUGAGNNNNNNAAGGCUGAGCUGUGAUGGCGAGCGAAAUAUAGUAGCGAAGUUCCUGAUUCCACACUGCCAAGAAAAGCCUCUAGCGAGGUGAGAGGUGCCCGUACCGCAAACCGACACAGGUAGGCGAGGAGAGAAUCCUAAGGUGAUCGAGAGAACUCUCGUUAAGGAACUCGGCAAAAUGACCCCGUAACUUCGGGAGAAGGGGUGCUCUGUUAGGGUGCAAGCCCGAGAGAGCCGCAGUGAAUAGGCCCAGGCGACUGUUUAGCAAAAACACAGGUCUCUGCGAAGCCGUAAGGCGAAGUAUAGGGGCUGACGCCUGCCCGGUGCUGGAAGGUUAAGAGGAGCGCUUAGCGUAAGCGAAGGUGCGAAUUGAAGCCCCAGUAAACGGCGGCCGUAACUAUAACGGUCCUAAGGUAGCGAAAUUCCUUGUCGGGUAAGUUCCGACCCGCACGAAAGGCGCAACGAUCUGGGCACUGUCUCAACGAGAGACUCGGUGAAAUUAUAGUACCUGUGAAGAUGCAGGUUACCCGCGACAGGACGGAAAGACCCCGUGGAGCUUUACUGCAGCCUGAUAUUGAAUGUUGGUACAGCUUGUACAGGAUAGGUAGGAGCCUUGGAAACCGGAGCGCCAGCUUCGGUGGAGGCAUCGGUGGGAUACUACCCUGGCUGUAUUGACCUUCUAACCCGCCGCCCUUAUCGGGCGGGGAGACAGUGUCAGGUGGGCAGUUUGACUGGGGCGGUCGCCUCCUAAAAGGUAACGGAGGCGCCCAAAGGUUCCCUCAGAAUGGUUGGAAAUCAUUCGCAGAGUGUAAAGGCACAAGGGAGCUUGACUGCGAGACCUACAAGUCGAGCAGGGACGAAAGUCGGGCUUAGUGAUCCGGUGGUUCCGCAUGGAAGGGCCAUCGCUCAACGGAUAAAAGCUACCCCGGGGAUAACAGGCUUAUCUCCCCCAAGAGUCCACAUCGACGGGGAGGUUUGGCACCUCGAUGUCGGCUCAUCGCAUCCUGGGGCUGUAGUCGGUCCCAAGGGUUGGGCUGUUCGCCCAUUAAAGCGGUACGCGAGCUGGGUUCAGAACGUCGUGAGACAGUUCGGUCCCUAUCCGUCGCGGGCGCAGGAAAUUUGAGAGGAGCUGUCCUUAGUACGAGAGGACCGGGAUGGACGCACCGCUGGUGUACCAGUUGUUCUGCCAAGGGCAUCGCUGGGUAGCUAUGUGCGGACGGGAUAAGUGCUGAAAGCAUCUAAGCAUGAAGCCCCCCUCAAGAUGAGAUUUCCCAUUCCGCAAGGAAGUAAGAUCCCUGAAAGAUGAUCAGGUUGAUAGGUCUGAGGUGGAAGUGUGGCGACACAUGGAGCUGACAGAUACUAAUCGAUCGAGGACUUAACCAC
rnacentral:rRNA from 1 species